rnacentral:rRNA from 1 species
CCUACGGGACGCAGCAGUGGGGAAUACUGCACAAUGGGCGCAAGCCUGAUGCAGCCAUGCCGCGUGUAGGAAGAAGGCCUUCGGGUUGUAAAGUACUUUCAGCGGGGAGGAAGGUGUUGUGGUUAAUAACCACAGCAAUUGACGUUACCCGCAGAAGAAGCACCGGCUAACUCCGUGCCAGCAGCCGCGGUAAUACGGAGGGUGCAAGCGUUAAUCGGAAUUACUGGGCGUAGAGCGCACGCAGGCGGUCUGUCAAGUCGGAUGUGAAAUCCCCGGGCUCAACCUGGGAACUGCAUUCGAAACUGGCAGGCUAGAGUCUUGUAGAGGGGGGUAGAAUUCCAGGUGUAGCGGUGAAAUGCGUAGAGAUCUGGAGGAAUACCGGUGGCGAAGGCGGCCCCCUGGACAAAGACUGACGCUCAGGUGCGAAAGCGUGGGGAGCAAACAGGAUUAGAUACCCGGGUAG